rnacentral:ncRNA from 1 species
AAUUGGCCACAGGGAGCGAAAGCUGAGAAAGGUUAAAGCCCGGCCCUCAAAACCUGAUCUGGAUAAUACCGGCGAAAGGGAAUAAUCUCGUAGCACUA